ACAUGAUUACAACAUACUGUUAAUGUGCCAGAUCCCAUUAAAACUUCGCAGUUAAGCAUGCUCAUGGUAGAGUAGUACUGGGAUGGGUGACCGCCCGAGAAGUCCUAGUAUUUUACAUGCC
rfam:Picea glauca, whole genome shotgun sequence.